rnacentral:rRNA from 1 species
GACCUCAGUUCAGACAAGAUUACCCGCCGAAUUUAAGCAUAUUACUAAGCGGAGGAAAAGAAACUAACAAGGAUUCCCCUAGUAACGGCGAGCGAACCGGGAAGAGCCCAACUUGAAAAUCUAAACGUUUUACGUUUCGAAUUGUAGUCUAGAGACGCGUUCUCUGUCACGAACCAGCUUCAAGUCCUUUGGAAAAAGGCGUCAGAGAGGGUGAGAACCCCGUCGAGCUCGG